rnacentral:rRNA from 1 species
UACGUAGGUGGCGAGCGUUGUCCGGAUUUACUGGGCGUAAAGGGAGCGUAGGCGGACUUUUAAGUGAGAUGUGAAAUACUCGGGCUCAACUUGAGUGCUGCAUUUCAAACUGGAAGUCUAGAGUGCAGGAGAGGAGAAUGGAAUUCCUAGUGUAGCGGUAAAAUGCGUAGAGAUUAGGAAGAACACCAGUGGCGAAGGCGAUUCUCUGGACUGUAACUGACGCUGAGGCUCGAAAGCGUGGGGAGCAAACAGG